UGUGCUAUGGUGUAAUGGCACGAAAGUUUUUGGUACUUUAAGAGCUUGUUAUAAAAGCUAGCACUA
rnacentral:tRNA from 1 species